AACGAACGCUGGCGGCAUGCCUAACACAUGCAAGUCGAACGAGACCUUCGGGUCUAGUGGCGCAAGGGUGCGUAACGCGUGGGAACCUGCCCUUAGGUUCGGAAUAACUCACUGCAAGGGGUGCUAAUACCGGUUAAUGUAUUCGGACCAAAGAGUUAUCGCUUUUGGCUGGGCCCGAGUUGGAUUAGCUAGUUGGUUGGGUAAAAGCCGACUAAGGCGACGGUCCAUAGCUGGUCUGAGAGGAUGAUCAGCCACACUGGGUCUGAGACACGGCCCAAACUCCGGCAGGAGGGGGGAAUAGGGAAUAAUGGACGAUAGGCGGAAGCCGGAACGAGCAGUGCCGCAUGAGGGAUGAAGGCUUUAAAAUUGUUUAGCUCAGUUACCCAGCAUGAUAGUGACGGUACCUGGAGAAGAAGCACCGGCUAACUCCGUG
rnacentral:rRNA from 1 species